rnacentral:lncRNA from 1 species
GCCUCGCGGGGGGUGCCUCCUCCCCCUGCGAUGGGGGUCGUAAGAGCCACUGGGGGAAUAGGGGCUUGCUCUCAGUCACCGCCUCGCGGGGGGUGCCUCCUUUCCUUUCUACAUAGACACAGUGACAGUCUGAUCUCUCUUUCUUUUCCCUACAGAUGGACACGCCCCCACUGAUAUUGUUUUUAAUGCAGCGUGGGAGGGGAGGAUAUGACACGCGAUAUCGCAGCUGAGUGCCACGUGCUGACGUCACUAAGAUCAAUACAGCAAACUCUGAAAGAUGGACAGAGAGACAGGAGAUGGUCCUUUAUAAUGCAGUGUGAUCUGUGCUGCAAUAGAGAUGGAAGAGUGUUCUGAUUGGCUGGAAAACAAUGCACAUGGGAAGCUGUACAGAAAUGAGUGGGGAAAGGUAAUACUUAACAGCAACAGCAGUUAAUAUUUAGUGCCCACUUACGACAUGCUGGACACAGUUCCGGGUACUCUGAACAUAUUCGCUCAUUUAAUCUUUACAACAACCCUAUGAGGUAGGUACUAUUAUUAUCCCCAUUUUCAGGUGAGGAAUCUGAGGCACAGAGAGAGUAAGUAUGUUGCCCAGGGCCACGCACCAAGUAUGUGGUAGGUCCUGGAGUUGAAUGCAG